AGAGUUUGAUCCUGGCUCAGGAUGAACGCUAGCGGCAGGCCUAACACAUGCAAGUCGAGGGGCAUCGGGAUUGAAGCUUGCUUCAAUUGCCGGCGACCGGCGCACGGGUGCGUAACGCGUAUGUAACCUACCUAUAACAGGGGCAUAACACUGAGAAAUUGGUACUAAUUCCCCAUAAUAUUCGGAGAGGCAUCUCUCCGGGUUGAAAACUCCGGUGGUUAUAGAUGGACAUGCGUUGUAUUAGCUAGUUGGUGAGGUAACGGCUCACCAAGGCAACGAUACAUAGGGGGACUGAGAGGUUAACCCCCCACACUGGUACUGAGACACGGACCAGACUCCUACGGGAGGCAGCAGUGAGGAAUAUUGGUCAAUGGGCGGAAGCCUGAACCAGCCAUGCCGCGUGCAGGAAGACGGCUCUAUGAGUUGUAAACUGCUUUUGUACGAGGGUAAACUCACCUACGUGUAGGUGACUGAAAGUAUCGUACGAAUAAGGAUCGGCUAACUCCGUGCCAGCAGCCGCGGUAAUACGGAGGAUCCAAGCGUUAUCCGGAUUUAUUGGGUUUAAAGGGUGCGUAGGCGGCAGAUUAAGUUAGAGGUGAAAUUCCGAGGCUCAACCUUGGCACUGCCUCUGAUACUGGUUUGCUAGCGAGUAGAUGCUGUAGGCGGAAUGUGUGGUGUAGCGGUGAAAUGCAUAGAGAUCACACAGAACACCGAUUGCGAAGGCAGCUUACAAAUCUAUAUCGGACGCUGAGGCACGAAAGCGUGGGGAGCAAACAGGAUUAGAUACCCUGGUAGUCCACGC
rnacentral:rRNA from 1 species